UACGUAUGGGGCAAGCGUUAUCCGGAUUUACUGGGUGUAAAGGGAGCGUAGACGGCGGAGCAAGUCUGAAGUGAAAGCUCAGGGCUCAACCCUGGAACUGCUUUGGAAACUGUUCUGCUAGAGUGCCGGAGGGGUAAGCGGAAUUCCUGGUGUAGCGGUGAAAUGCGUAGAUAUCAGGAGGAACACCGGUGGCGAAGGCGGCUUACUGGACGGCAACUGACGUUAAGGCUCGAAAGCGUGGGGAGCAAAC
rnacentral:rRNA from 1 species